GCUUAUUUUCUUUUAAAGUGUGUGAACUGCAAAAAACAAACAGCAACUACAAAGAAAACCAACAAAGAAAAAACAUCCAACAAUGAUUUGCACGUCGAUCACCUUGGUUGCAGCUGUCCAGUGUUGUUCAGAGCCAAUACCAGUCUCAGCAAAGCAUCCACGGAGCUGGGAGUGAAUGGGGUAGCUGACUUAAAGUAGCCAAAAGGCACGAAUUUAAAAAGAAGUUUACUUGCAGAGGAAGAAAGGCCAUUUCCUUCUCUUUACCAGCCCACGGUAAGACACAUCUUACAGUCAGUUCCUCCCAGAAGCAGCCACCACCAUCCAGGAGCCUCCAGCAGCACUCAGGUGGACGUCAUUCCAAUGAAGAGGAACUGAGAACUGACAUGGCUGCUGCAGCCACCCCCUCUUGCCCCCUGGCUGCGGCGGUGCUGUUGCAGAGAAUAAAGGGACUCUAUUCUGCUUAUGGAUCGGGCAGGAAAAGCGGCUGUUUCAGUUGGUUUGCAGGUGUUGUGUGCUGCCAGCAGGCCACAAAGUGUCUAUAAAACAACACGUGGGUGAACCAACACACGCCUUUGUGAAACGAGAAGCAGCAGUUAAUACCGAACAUUAUUAUGUGCCAUCUAGUCUAACGUGGCGACAGAGAAGCACGCGAGAUUCUUUGGUGU